GACGAACGCUGGCGGCGUGCUUAACACAUGCAAGUCGAACGAUGAUGCCCAGCUUGCUUGGUGGAUUAGUGGCGAACGGGUGAGUAACACGUGAGUAACCUGCCCCUGACUCUGGGAUAAGCGUUGGAAACGACGUCUAAUACUGGAUAUGACUGCCGGCCGCAUGGUCUGGUGGUGGAAAGAUUUUUUGGUUGGGGAUGGACUCGCGGCCUAUCAGCUUGUUGGUGAGGUAAUGGCUCACCAAGGCGACGACGGGUAGCCGGCCUGAGAGGGUGACCGGCCACACUGGGACUGAGCCGCGGCCCAGACUCCGACGGGAGGCAGCAGUGGGGAAUAUUGCACAAUGGGCGAAAGCCUGAUGCAGCAACGCCGCGUGAGGGAUGACGGCCUUCGGGUUGUAAACCUCUUUUAGUAGGGAAGAAGCGAAAGUGACGGCACCUGCAGAAAAAGCACCGGCUAACUACGUGCCAGCAGCCGCCGUAA
rnacentral:rRNA from 1 species